GCUCCCGUAGCUCAGUUGGAUAGAGCGACCGCCUCCUAAGCGGUAGGACGAACGUUCAAAUCGUUUCGGGAGCA
rnacentral:tRNA from 2 species